rnacentral:rRNA from 1 species
GUGUCAGCCGCCGCGGUAAUACAGAGGGUGCAAGCGUUGCUCGGAAUUAUUGGGCGUAAAGGGUAGGUAGGUGGUCCCAUUUGUCAGGGGUGAAAGCCUUGGGCUUAACUCAAGAAGUGCCCCUGAAACGGUGAGACUAGAGUACUGGAGAGGGUCGUGGAAUUCCCGGUGUAGCGGUGAAAUGCGUAGAGAUCGGGAGGAACACCAGAGGCGAAGGCGGCGACCUGGACAGUUACUGACACUCAACUACGAAAGCGUGGGGAGCAAACAGGAUUAGGUACCCUGGUAGUCC